rnacentral:SRP_RNA from 1 species
GUUGGACGCGGUGGCAUGCGCCUGUAGUCCCAGCUCCUCAGGAAGCUGAGACAGGAGGAUCACUUGAGUCCGGGGGUUCUGGGCUGUAGUGCACUAUGCCGAUCAGGUGUCCACAGUAAGUUCAGCAUCAAUAUGGUAAACCUCCCUGGAGCAGGAGGUGGGGAAGGUUGGGAGGGGAAAUGAGGAGGGGGCAAGAUGCCAGGUUACCUAAGGAAGGGUGAACCUGCUCAGGUCGGAAACAGAGCAGGUCAAAACUCCCAUGCUGAUCAGUAGUGGGAUCACGCCUCUGAAUAACCACUGCACACCAGCCUGGGCAACAUAGCAAGACCCUGUCUCUU